GGUGUGGAUAAUAGGAAGGCCUACCAUGAGUGUGGGUGGCACCAUCCAAAAGCCUUGUAGCCUGGAUGGGAUAAAAGAGAGAGGCUUACUUCAUUGCUUGCUGCUUCCUACAUGCCCUGCCACUGACUGUUUCUCUUCAACCAUGCCAUAUUCCCUUGGAGCCAGCCAACUAUAGACUGAAACCUCUGCAAAUGGCUCUUAAAGGAUUGAGUGAUACCAACCUACACUGGAAAAGGUCAUCUACUUUCCUCAGUCCUUAGUCCACGGAUGCAAAUGCUAACCUCAUCCAGAAACACCCUCACAGAUGCACCCAGAAAUGAUGCUUUGUGUGGAAACCCCCUGCAACAGUCAAAGGGACGUAUCAAUUAACCACCACACCUCAACAUAAGAACAAUGAAUUCUUCCCAGGAGAUCCAGAGGGAGCAAGAAAAGGAAGACGACAUUUGGAGAACGAAGGAGACAUUGGCAAGGAAAAAGCAGAAGGUUAUUUUAGUGGCAAGUCCUCAGCAACAUGGAAGUCUGGGACAUUCUGAGAAAUAAACCGCUGCGGGGAGAGAGAAGGAAUGUGUACAUGUAUGCAUGUUUUCUUUGGAGGGUGAGGAAGAGGGGGAAGAAGAUGGGAGGAAUGAAAUCAUACAGAGGGUUACAAACAUUUAUUUCAGUUCUCAUCUGUUUCAAUUAUAUCAUACAAAAGUUUCUAUAUGCUGCCUAUUGUGAUGAUAAGUGGAAAUUUCUCCAUGAUAGAGUUGUUCCACUCAGCAUAGUAGCCUCUAGCCACUUAUGGCUGUUUUAUUUGGAUUUAAAUUAGCUUAAAUUAAAAUAAUUUAAAAGAUGCAUUCCUCAGUCACACUAGCCACAUUUCAAAAGCUCAAAGCCCACAUGUGUCUACUGGCUGUUGGACAGUACAGAUAUAAAACAUUUAGAUCAUCACAGAACAUUUUACUGGAUGCACAUAGUGGACCUCUACAACUCAGUUUUUUGCAGUAUCAUUUCUGUUCCAUGAUCCCAAAGAUCAUUGGCCAAGGAACUGAAUGAGAAAAUAUUGGGCCGUUCCUGGAAUAUAUGAGCACUUUUGCAAAAGUACCUCAGAUAUUUGCUUUGCAUCCUUUGCAUAAAAUCAAAGUCCUGCAUGUGGAGAGCUGUGAUAAUCCCUGCAUUUCAUUUGAAAACAAAUUUAAAGGCUAAGUGAGAGAGAUGAUUAUCAAAAGGUGAUGGAAUUGCACUGCUGGAUUCAAAUUUCGUCCUGUCACUCAGUAGAACACCUUAGCCUCUUGAUAGCUUAGUUAUUCCGCUUAUAAAAUGAAUAUAAUAAUAGCAUUUUCCAUAAAGCUGAUGUAAAGAUCAUACUAGGAAGAACAUGUAAAGAAUUCAAUUAGUACUUGGUGGACCAUAUACAUUUUAGCUAAUAUUAUUACUAAUCAGCUCUUUUUUUUUUUUUUUUUUUGCCAAAUAGGCACUACAGAACUCUGGGCUGGGCUGGCUUUCUAUUUCUGAAUGUACUCUCUUACAUGAUAGGCACUUAAUAUCUAUUGCUACUUGUUUUUGUUGUCAUCCUUGCCCUUCAGCGGGCAGUACCUCCAGAAGGUGAUUAGCACUAAUCUCACAAAGCUGGUGAAUCAGUUUGUGGAAUGCAUUUUUCAUGCAGAUAGAGGAUGCUGGCAUUUUAACCUCGUAAUUGCCUUAUUCCUUUUCAAACGUUUUAGCACACAGACUCCAGGAGGAAAAUUAAGAGGUCAUGAGCAGUUACUUUCUGGUGUCUCCUGAGAGUAGAUUGAUGCUGCCUUAUAUUAUCUACCUUUUGGGUCACAGAACACAUUUUACUUACAAGAGGAAUAUUUAUAUUAGCCUGUUCAGACUACUAUAACAAAAUACCAUGAACUGAAUGGCUUAUAUCCAACAUAAAUUUAUUUUUCACAGUUUGGAGGCUGGGACAUCUAAGGUCAAGGAGCCAGCAGACUCAGUGUCUGGUGAGGGCCCAGACUCUGGUUCACAGACAAAACCUCACUGUAUCCUCAUGCGGUGGCAUUGGCAAGCAAGCUCUUUGCAGUCUCAUGUGGGCACAAAUCCCACAUGAGGGCUGGAGCUCAAGUGUAGCUUGCUGAGCAUGUACAAGGCCCUGGGACCAAUCACUAGCAACACACACACACACACAUACACACAUGCAUGCACACGUCAGCACACGCAUAUAUAAAGCCCUGAGUUUGAUUCCUAGCAUCACAUACACACACUCAAAUAUAUAGUUAAGGUCUCAGUUCUUCCCAAAAUUCUCUCUAGAUUCAACACAUUCCCAGUAAAUAUAUAUCUGGACAAGCUUUUAUUGUAGAAAUUGACACAUUGAUUCUAAAAUUCAUAUAUGCAUGCAAAAGAUCUAGAACAGUCAAAACAGUUUUGAAAUAAAGAGCAAAAUCAGGGAACAAACACCACCAGAAAUGACAAUUUAUUAUCAAUCUGUGAUUAUCAAAAAAUCCCAAUUAAAAGUGGGAAAAAUGGGUACAAUAUUUGAACAAAUGUUUCCCUAAAGAUUAUCUAUGGAUAUCAAACAUGCAUGUGAUAUGAUGUCCAACAUCAUUAGUCAUAAGGAAAUGCAAAUCAAAACAUUGAGAUGCUACUAUAUCCCUAGUAAAAUGUCUACAAUUAAAACAAGAUUGAAUAUAUUAAGAGCUGAUGGUGAGGAUAUGGAAGAAAGGGAACAUUCAUACAUUGCUUGGGGAAUAUAAAAUGCUACACCCUUUGGAAAAUAGUUUGUGAAUUUCUUAAAAAAGUAAACACUUGCCAUAUAACCCAACCAUUCUGCCCAUAGGUAUCAACCUAAGAAAAAAGAAAGCUUACAUACACAGUCUUCUACGUGGUUUCUCAUAACCAUUCUAUUUGUAAUACUCAGAAACUGUUAAUUGCAUUAACAUUAGCAGAUGAAUGCAUAAACAAAUUGUGGCAUGUUGAAUAUAAUGAAAAAGCUAUUCAGCAAUAAAAAUAAAUAAAUCAUGAGUAUAUGCAACAAUGUGGGUGAAUCUUAAAAUAACUAUACUUAAAAAGAAGUCAGACCAAAGUAGGUCCUACUGUUUGAUUCCAUUCCUACAGAACUCUAGAAGAUAUAAAAUAAUCUCCAAUAAUCUGGUUGGGGGAGGGAAAUUAGUAAGGGAAGAAAAGGGAGAAAGAGGUUACAAAGAAGCAUGAGGAAAUUUUUUUUUUUGGUACCGGGGGUCGAACUCGGGUCCUUGCCUUUGUGAGGCAGGUGGCAGAACCAUUGAGCCAAACCCCUGGCCCUAAAUUUUUUUAACAUAAUGAGAAUGCUCACUGUCUUGAUUGUAGUGGUGGUUCCGUGGUCAUAUUUAUAUGUUAAAAUGUAUUAAAUUGAUCACUUAAAGUAUGUGCUAUUAAUUAUAUGCUAAUUAAACAUCAAUAAUAAACAUUUUAAGAGCU
ensembl:lncRNA